rnacentral:lncRNA from 1 species
AUGGGAGCUGUAACUUUAUCCCUUAUUUUUCAUUCCCCUGCCUUCUUCAGACCAAUAUUUAAAGGCUUUGUGUCCUCAGAAACCUUGCAGAUGAGGUUUGCUGCACUGCCAUGGCCCUUGACCAAAACUUUGUUCAACACAGAGAAGAAACCAAAGUUCCCAAGGCAGUUCAGCACCUUGACACUGUGCAACGCAAGGAAGGACCAAAGCUCCCACAGCUCCAGCACUCCUCGCUGCGUGUUCUGCAGCAAACCCAGCCCAGCACACCCCACACCAGCCCAAGGCCUCCUGUGGCCCUGCAGAGGUGACCUCCCUCCCCAGCACUGCCAGCAGCACAGCCAGGGCUUGCCCAGUGGAGCAGCUGCCAAUUCCAGAUGGAUGGUGCUAGGAGAUUCCAAACCCAGGGAUUUUCCUCUUCCAGGCAAGUUUUGCAAGAGGACAGAAAAAAGCUUCAGGUCUCAGGACCUGGAUGCCAGAAAGGAACAGAGGAGGCAGGAAAUCCCAAACCAGCAGAAAAUGCAGCUUGUUCAGGGUCAAAGGCAGAGAUGGAAGUGCAGGCAGAGGCAGAGGAAAGCCCUUUCCAGGAGAGUAGCCAGGAGGUCAGGCCUGUGUGAGGCUUCUGGGCUUUGCCAACACUCGGGUUGUGAAGCUCAGAGCCCUGGAGAUGGUCAGGAGCUGCUUCCCCAGAGGAUGACCAGUAACAACUCCCUCUGGAAGCAGAGCAGUCCCAGUGGCACCAGCAGCUGUCCCCUCCCACUGCUGCACUGGCAGAAAAAUCCACCCUGGGCAGAGCAGGUGUCACGUCACCUCUGCUUGGAGCGGGUGGCCGAGCUGGGACGUGCUGACCCACCUGGCUGUGCCAGGCAGGGAGGUGACCCCAGCUCCACAUCAGAGCUCAGAACAGCAGCCUGGGGCACCAGCAGCUGGGAGAGCAGCAAUGUGCUGGGUGCCAGCACUGCAGGGACACGGGGCUGUGCUGCAGCCCCAAAACAGCCUGGGGCCCCAGGAGCACGCUGA